rnacentral:rRNA from 1 species
GCACGUCCAAGCAGUUAGGCUGAUAAGUAGGCAAAUCCGCUUAUCGUGAAGGCUGAGCUGUGAUGGGGAAGCUCCUUAUGGAGCGAAGUCUUUGACUCCCCGCUGCCAAGAAAAGCUUCUAGCGAGAUAAAAGGUGCCUGUACCGCAAACCGACACAGGUAGGCGAGGAGAGAAUCCUAAGGUGUGCGAGAGAACUCUGGUUAAGGAACUCGGCGAAAUGACCCCGUAACUUCGGGAGAAGGGGUGCUUUCUUAACGGAAAGCCGCAGUGAAUAGGCCCAAGCGACUGUUUAGCAAAAACACAGCUCUCUGCGAAGCCGUAAGGCGAAGUAUAGGGGUGACACCUGCCCGGUGCUGGAAGGUUAAGGAGAGGGGUUAGCGUAAGCGAAGCUCUGAACUGAAGCCCCAGUAAACGGCGGCCGUAACUAUAACGGUCCUAAGGUAGCGAAAUUCCUUGUCGGGUAAGUUCCGACCCGCACGAAAGGUGUAACGAUUUGGGCACUGUCUCAACCAGAGACUCGGUGAAAUUAUAGUACCUGUGAAGAUGCAGGUUACCCGCGACAGGACGGAAAGACCCCGUGGAGCUUUACUGUAGCCUGAUAUUGAGUUUUGGUACAGUUUGUACAGGAUAGGCGGGAGCCUUUGAAACCGGAGCGCUAGCUUCGGUGGAGGCGCUGGUGGGAUACCGCCCUGACUGUAUUGAAAUUCUAACCUACGGGGUCUUAUCGACCCGGGAGACAGUGUCAGGUGGGCAGUUUGACUGGGGCGGUCGCCUCCUAAAGUGUAACGGAGGCGCCCAAAGGUUCCCUCAGAAUGGUUGGAAAUCAUUCGUAGAGUGCAAAGGCAUAAGGGAGCUUGACUGCGAGACCUACAAGUCGAGCAGGGACGAAAGUCGGGCUUAGUGAUCCGGUGGUUCCGCAUGGAAGGGCCAUCGCUCAACGGAUAAAAGCUACCCCGGGGAUAACAGGCUUAUCUCCCCCCAAGAGUCCACAUCGACGGGGAGGUUUGGCACCUCGAUGUCGGCUCAUCGCAUCCUGGGGCUGUAGUCGGUCCCAAGGGUUGGGCUGUUCGCCCAUUAAAGCGGUACGCGAGCUGGGUUCAGAACGUCGUGAGACAGUUCGGUCCCUAUCCGUCGUGGGCGUAGGAAAUUUGAGAGGAGCUGUCCUUAGUACGAGAGGACCGGGAUGGACGCACCGCUGGUGUACCAGUUGUUCUGCCAAGGGCAUAGCUGGGUAGCUAUGUGUGGAAGGGAUAAGUGCUGAAAGCAUCUAAGCAUGAAGCCCCCUCAAGAUGAGAUUUCCCAUAGCGUAAGCUAGUAAGAUCCUGAAAGAUGAUCAGGUUGAUAGGUUCGAGGUGGAAGCAUGGUGACAUGUGGAGCUGACGAAUACUAAUAGAUCGAGGACUUAACC